UGAUAACAGAAUAGAAUGUCCUUGAGACCAAAUAUGUUGGAAAAUGAAGGUAGUUCACUCAGGCCAUUUUUUAAAUGUUUUGUUGAACCUUUAUUUAACUACGCAAGUCAGUUAAGAACAAACACUAAUUUUACAAUGACUGCCAAACCCGGACGACACUGGGCUAAUUGUGCGACGGUCUAUGGGACUCCCAAUCACGGCCGGUUGUGAUACAGCCUGUCCCAUAGGUAAUCCGUUGUUCUUGACUUCCAUUGAGCCAGAAAACAUUAGCGGGUGGGAUGUUUCACUUCCUCUUCCGUCUCUGCUUGAGACUCCAGAUUGCUGAGUCACAACGACAAGCCAGAAAUACAGCCAGUGCAUAGCCUGAGUCGGUCCACAUAGAACAAACUUGAGGUUAUGACAGGAAUAAGUGGGAAGGAGGGAGAGAUAUAGGAACAUGUUUAGACUUUAUCCAACAACAAAAAAAUAUAUACAAGUCAGAAGUUUACCUACAUUUUAGCUAAAUACUUUUAAUCAGUUUCCCAAUUCCUGCCAUUUAAUCCAAGUAAAAAUUACCGGUCUUAGGUCACCACUAUUUUAAUGUGAAAUGUCAGAAUAGUGAUUUCAGCUCAUUCCGUUGGUCUGAAGUUCAUACACAAAUAGUAUUUUGUAGCAAUGCCUUUUAAUUGUUUAACUUCAGUAAAACUUCAGGCAG